UUGUAAAGCACUUUCAGUAGGGAGGAAGGUAGUGUAGUUAACACCUGCAUUAUUUGACGUUACCUACAGAAGAAGACACCGGCUAACUCCGUGACCAGCAGCCGCGGUAAUACGGAGGGUGCGAGCGUUAAUCGGAAUUACUGGGCGUAAAGCGCAUGCAGGCGGCCUGUUAAGUCAGAUGUGAAAGACCCGGGGCGUUAACCUCGGAAUUGCAUUUGUAAACUAGGCAGGCUAGAGUCUUGUAGAGGGGGGUAGGAAUUUCAGGUGUAGCGGUGAAAUAGCGUAGAGAUCUGAAGGAAUACCAGUGGCGAAGGCGGCCCCCUGGACAAAGACUGACGCUCAGAUGCGAAAGCGUGGGGAGCAAACAGGAUUAGAUACCCUGGUAG
rnacentral:rRNA from 1 species